rnacentral:lncRNA from 1 species
GUAUAAUUGUCUGGGAUCCUAUGCACUAGAAAAGGAGGGUCCUCUCCACAUACCUCAGUCUCACCUUUCCCUUCCAGCAGGGAGUGCCCACUCCAUAAGACUCUCACAUUUGGACAGUCAAGGUGCGUAAUUCUUAAGUGAACACAACCAUGCACCUUAGACAUGGAUUUGCAUAACUACACACAGCUCAACCUAUCUGAAUAAAAUCCUAGUCUCAGACCCCUUUUGCAGUACAGCAGGGGUGCUGAUCACCAAGGCCCCUUUUCCUGGCCUGGUAUGCGUGUGAUUAUAUUUGUCCCGGUUCCUGUGUAUUAGACAUGGAAGCCUUCCCCCCGCCCCCACCCCCACUCCCAGUCUUCCUUUCCCUUCCGGCAGGGAGUGCCCUCUCCAUAAGACCCUUACGUUUGGACAAUCAAGGUGCACAGUUGUAAGUGACCACAGGCAUGCACCUUGGACAUUAAUGUGCGUAACUGCACUUUGCCCAUUCCAUCUGAAUAAGGUCCUACUCUCAGACCCCUUUUGCAGUACAGCAGGGGUGCUGAUCACCAAGGCCCCUUUUCUUGGCCUGUUAUGUGUGUGAUUAUAUUUGUCUGGGUUCCUGUGUAUUAGACAAGGAAGCCUUCCCCCCGCCCCCACCCCACCUCCAAUCUUCCUUUCCCUUCCAGCAGGGAGUGCCCGCUCCAUGUACCCUUACAUUUGGACAAUCAAGGUGCACAAUUGUAAGUGAUCAUAGGCACUCACCUUGGACAUUAAUGUGCAUAACUGCACAUGGCCCAUCCCAUCUGAAUAAGGCCUUACUCUCAGACCCCUUUUGCAGUACAGCAGGGGUGCUGAUAACCAAGGCCCAUUUUCCUGGCCUGUUAUGUGUGUGAUUAUAUUUGUCCAGGUUUCUGUGUACUAGACAAGGAAGCCUCCUCUGCCCCAUCCCAUCUACGCAUAAUCUUUCUUUUCCUCCCAGCAGGGAGUGCUCACUCCAUAAGACCCUUACAUUUGGACAAUCAAGGUGCACAAUUGUAAAGUGACCACAACCAUGCAUCUUGGAAAUUAUGUGCAUAACUGCACAUGGCUUAUCCUAUUUGAAUAAAGUCCUACUCUCAGACCCCCUUUGCAGUAUAGCUGGGGUGCUGAUCACUGAGGCCUCUUUGCUUGGCUUGUCUAUAUUCUUGUGUACUAGAUAAGGGCACCUUCUCAUGGACUCCCUUUGCUUUUCAACAAGGAGUACCCACUACUUUUUAAGAUUCUUAUAUUUGUCCAAAGUACAUGGUUUUAAUUGACCACAACAAUGUCCCUUGGACAUUAAUGUACGUAAUCACCACAUGGUUCAUCCUAAUUAAACAAGGUUCUACCCUCUCACCCUCCAUUUGCAGUAUACCAGGGUUGCUGACCCCCUAAGUCCCCUUUUCUUGGCUUGUUGACAUGCAUAAUUGCAUUUAUGUGGGUUCUUGUGCCCUAGACAAGGAUGCCCCACCUCUUUUCAAUAGUGGGUGCCCACUCCUUAUGAUCUUUACAUUUGAACAGUUAAUGUGAAUAAUUGCAGUUGUCUACAACCCUAUCACUUCUAGGACCAUUAUACCUCUUUUGCAUUACUGUGGGGUAUACUGUUUCCCUCCAAGGCCCCUUCUGGUGGACUAUCAACAUAUAAUUGAAAUUUUCUUUUGUCUUUGUCAGUAGAUUAAGGUCAUACCCCAUCACCUUUCCUUUGUAGUACAGCAGGGUGUCCUGAUCAACCAAAGUCCUGUUGUUUUGGACUGUUAAUAUGUGCAAUUACAUUUGCUCCUGAUCUGUGCACUAGAUAAGGAUCCUACCUACUUUCUUAGCGUUUUUAGCAGGUAGUGGCCACUACUCAAGACUGUCACUUGGAAUGUUCAUGUGCACAAACUCAAUUCUCUAAGCAUGUUCCUGUACCACCUUUGCUUUAGAGCAGGGGGAUGAUAUUCACUAAGUGCCCCUUCUUUUGGACUUAAUAUGCAUUAAUGCAAUUGUCCACCUCUUCUUUUAGACUAAGAGUUGAUCUCCACAUACUCCCCUUGCAUCAGGGGCAUGUUAAUUAUGAAUGAACCCUUUUCUUUUAAUAUUAAUGUCAUAAUUGUAUUUGUGGACCUGUGUAGGAGAAAAAGACCCUAUGUUCCUCCCAUUACCCUUUGGAUUGCUGCUGAGAAGUGUUAACUACUCAUAAUCUCAGCUCUUGGACAAUUAAUAGCAUUAAUAACAAUUAUCAAGGGCACUGAUCAUUAGAUAAGACUCCUGCCUCCUCGUUGCUUACAUCGGGGGUACUGACCCACUAAGGCCCCUUGUACUGUUAAUGUGAAUAUUUGCAAUUAUAUAUGUCUCCUUCUGUUAGAGUGGGAUAUUAUGCCCUAGUAUCCCCUUUGCAUUACUGCAGGGGCUGCUGACUACUCAAAACUUCUCCUGGGACUGUUAAUAGGCACAAUGGCAGUUAUCAAUGGUUUUCUCCCUCCCUGACCUUGUUAAGCAAGCGCCCCACCCCACCCUUAGUUUCCCAUGGCAUAAUAAAGUAUAAGCAUUGGAGUAUUCCAUGCACUUUUCUAUCAAACAGUGGUCCAUACUCCCACCCUUUUGCAUUGCGCCAGUGUGUAAAAUCACAGGUAGCCAUGGUGUCAUGCUUUAUAUACGAAGUCUUCCCUCUCUCUGCCCCUUGUGUGCCCUUGGCCCCUUUUUACAGACUAUUGCUCACAAUCUCAGGUGUCCAUAUAUGCAGCUAUUAGGUAAGAUUGUGCUGUCUCCCUCUUCCCUUCCCUCUGCCCUGCCCCUUUUGCCUCUUUGCUGGGUAAUGUUGACCGGACAAGGCCCUUUCUCUUGGACUUAAACAAUUCUCAGUUGCACUUUCCUUGGUCCCACCCAUUAUACAUGAACCCCUCUACUUCCUUUCGCAUUGCUUCUGAGUAUGCUGACUACCCAAAGCCCCUUCUGUGUUAUUAAUAAACACAGUACUGAUUGUCCCAUUUUUCAGCCCAUCAGUCCAAGAUCUCCCUACCACUUUGGUGUGUUGGUGCAGUGUUGACUAUGAAAAGCAGGCCUGAACUAGGUGGAUAAGCCUUCACUCAUUUUCUUUCAUUUAUUAAUGAUCCUAGUUUCAAUUAUUGUCAGAUUCUGGGGACAAGAACCAUUCUUGCCCACCUGUGUUACUGCUUUACUGUGCAAAAUACUGAAGGCAAGUCAGACCCAGGGAGCUGGAUUGCCAUCCUUUAUUUUGUGUUUCCAGUAUACACUAUCAAAUUGUCUCCCCAGGAAGGAAGGUUGGCACUUUCUCUGCAUUCUUCUUUCCAGAGCAGAUUGCCUGGUUAAGAAUCUCUUGUUGUCCCCUUUGUAUAUUGUUAUUGUAAAGUGCCAAAUGCCAGGAUACAGCCAGAAAAAUUGCUUAUAUUAUUAUUAAAAAAAUUUUUUUAAGAAAGACAUCUGGAUUGUAGGGUGGACUCGAUAACCUGGUCAUUAUUUUUUUGAAGCCAAAAUAUCCAUUUAUACUAUGUACCUGGUGACCAGUGUCUCUC